UUUUUUUUUUUUUUUACCAACUAGGGCAAGUUUCUUAACUUCCUAACACUCAUGAGUAAAACAAGAAUAAGAAAUUGUUCUUAUCUCAUAGAGAUGCUGUGAGAUGAGUUCUAAUCUUCAAUGCCUGACAUAUAAUACAAGCCAAAAAAAUCAAAGCUUUAAAAAAAAAUACACCAGAAAAAAAAAUGAAAAGUUAAGAACAUUCUGUAUGCAUCUAACACAUUUGCUUUUUGUUUUUGUCUUUUUAGGGCUGCACCUGUGGCAUAUGGAGGUUUUCACAAAUUAUCUCAAAAGUGAAGUAGGAUUACUGUCACCACUUUACUUAUUUAUUCCACAAAUAUUUCUUAGUCGUCCUCUGUAUCUCAGGCAUUUUCCUAUUGUUACCAGGAAUAAAGGAAACAAAACAGAUGAGGUCCCAACUCUCAUGGUGUUCUUACAUUGUAGAAGAGGGGGAGAGUCCAUAACAAAAAAAGGAGACAAUCUCAAGAAGGGUAAAUAUCAAAAUGAAAAUUAAGCACAAUGAUACAACAGGGACUAUCAGGUGGUCAGGGGAAGUCUCACAGAGGAGAUAACAUUUAAACUGAAACCCUAACAACUAGUAAGGGCCAAACUGUGUUACAGGCUGCAGGGGGCUGGGACAGGUAGGGAAUAAGGUAGGAAGUAAAGGCAGGGAAAGAAAGCUAGUAAAAAGGUUCUAGAGUAGCAGUGAGAUUCACGUUUGAUGAACAGAAAGAAGUUCAGAGUGGCUGGAGUAUAAAGAGAGAGAGUAGAAGUGAAAGAAAAGCCAGGUCAUAUUAAAGCCUCACUGAGGUUCAGGACUUGAAUAAAAUUACACAAUUUGUCCCCAGGCAAAGCUAGACUUGAACUCCACAACAGUAUGACCCCCCAAGUCCACUAUCUUUCUAGUACACCAAAGUUAACAUAUGUUAUUCAUAGCUCAAUGCUUUAAACACUGUAGAUGUUUAGUAAAUGUCUACUGGAAAGAAAAAGAAAAAAACUAAACACUUUCACAUACCACUCUUCAUUUCUGUUCUGGUCAGAAAAAUGUCAAUUGUCCAUCCAAAUACUUCUGAACAGUCUCACUGAAGAUUAGUAGGAUCUAUAUAGGUGUAAUUCGCAGUCUUGGCCACACACUAGAAAUCACCUGGGAAACUAACAAAUACUAAUACCUGAGUCCACCACAUCCAGAAAUUAUGACAUAUGUGGUCUGGGAUGCGGGGGACUCCAAUUUUUUUUAAAGUUCCCCAAGUUAUUCUUCUGUGCAUUCCAAAUUGAGAACCAUUGC
rnacentral:lncRNA from 1 species